rnacentral:rRNA from 1 species
UACGUAGGGGGCUAGCGUUGUCCGGAAUCACUGGGCGUAAAGCGCACGUAGGCGGGUCGUUAAGUCAGGGGUGAAAUCCUGGAGCUCAACUCCAGAACUGCCCUUGAUACUGGCGAUCUCGAGUUCGGGAGAGGUGAGUGGAACUGCGAGUGUAGAGGUGAAAUUCGUAGAUAUUCGCAAGAACACCAGUGGCGAAGGCGGCUCACUGGCCCGAUACUGACGCUGAGGUGCGAAAGCGUGGGAGCAACAG